rnacentral:rRNA from 1 species
AGUCAUAUGCUUGUCUCAAAGAUUAAGCCAUGCAUGUCUCAGUACAAGCCGAAUUAAGGUGAAACCGCGAAAGGCUCAUUAAAUCAGUUAUGGUUCCUUAGAUCGUACCCACACUUACUCGGAUAACUGUGGUAAUUCUAGAGCUAAUACGUGCAAACAGAGCUCCGACCGGAGACGGAAGGAGCGCUUUUAUUAGAUCAAAACCAAUAGGCGGCGGUCUCGCGGCCGUCGUCGUUAAACCUGGCGAAUCUGAAUAACUUUCUGCUGAUCGCACGGUCCAGCACCGGCGACGCAUCUUUCAAAUGUCUGCCUUAUCAACUGUCGAUGGUAGGUUCUGCGCCUACCAUGGUCGUAACGGGUAACGGGGAAUCAGGGUUCGAUUCCGGAGAGGGAGCCUGAGAAACGGCUACCACAUCCAAGGAAGGCAGCAGGCGCGCAAAUUACCCACUCCCGGCACGGGGAGGUAGUGACGAAAAAUAACGAUACGGGACUCAUCCGAGGCCCCGUAAUCGGAAUGAGUACACUCUAAACCCUUUAACGAGGAUCAAUUGGAGGGCAAGUCUGGUGCCAGCAGCCGCGGUAAUUCCAGCUCCAAUAGCGUAU